AUGAACGCUGGCGGCGUGCCUAAUACAUGCAAGUCGAGCGAACAGACGAGGAGCUUGCUCCUCUGACGUUAGCGGCGGACGGGUGAGUAACACGUGGAUAACCUACCUUUAAGACUGGGAUAACUUCGGGAAACCGGAGCUAAUACCGGAUAAUAUAUUGAACCGCAUGGUUCAAUAGUGAAAGACGGUUUUGCUGUCACUUAUAGAUGGAUCCGCGCCGCAUUAGCUAGUUGGUAAGGUAACGGCUUACCAAGGCAACGAUGCGUAGCCGACCUGAGAGGGUGAUCGGCCACACUGGAACUGAGACACGGUCCAGACUCCUACGGGAGGCAGCAGUAGGGAAUCUUCCGCAAUGGGCGAAAGCCUGACGGAGCAACGCCGCGUGAGUGAUGAAGGUCUUCGGAUCGUAAAACUCUGUUAUUAGGGAAGAACAAAUGUGUAAGUAACUAUGCACGUCUUGACGGUACCUAAUCAGAAAGCCACGGCUAACUACGUG
rnacentral:rRNA from 1 species